UACAGAGGGGGCAAGCGUUAUUCGGAAUUAUUGGGCGUAAAGGGCGCGUAGGCGGCCUGACAAGUGGAUGGUGAAAUCCCUCGGCUUAACCGAGGAACUGCCAUCCAGACUGUUUGGCUUGAGACCGGGAGAGGUGAGUGGAAUUCCCAGUGUAGCGGUGAAAAUGCGUAGAUAUUGGGAGGAACACCAGUGGCGAAGGCGGCUCACUGGACCGGUACUGACGCUGAUGCGCGAAAGCGUGGGGAGCAAACGGG
rnacentral:rRNA from 1 species